GGAGAAGUGGCCGAGUGGUUUAAGGCGCACGCCUGGAAAGUGUGUUUACUCGAAAGGGUAACGGGGGUUCGAAUCCCUCCUUCUCCGCCA
rnacentral:tRNA from 1 species